rnacentral:rRNA from 2 species
UGAGGAAUAUUGGACAAUGGGCGGGAGCCUGAUCCAGCCAUGCCGCGUGCAGGAAGACUGCCCUAUGGGUUGUAAACUGCUUUUUUACGGGAAGAAACACCCCCUCGUGAGGGGGCUUGACGGUACCGUACGAAUAAGGACCGGCUAACUCCGUGCCAGCAGCCGCGGUAAUACGGAGGGUCCGAGCGUUAUCCGGAAUCAUUGGGUUUAAAGGGUCCGUAGGCGGGCGUCUAAGUCAGUGGUGAAAUCCCGCAGCUCAACUGUGGAAUUGCCACUGAUACUGGUCGCCUUGAAUCAAUGUGAAGUGGCUAGAAUAUGUGGUGUAGCGGUGAAAUGCUUAGAUAUUACAUAGAAUACCGAUUGCGAAGGCAGGUCACUAACAUUGCAUUGACGCUGAUGGACGAAAGCGUGGGGAGCGAACAGG